UACGGAGGGUGCAAGCGUUGUCCGGAUUUAUUGGGUUUAAAGGGUGCGUAGGCGGCUCUUUAAGUCAGUGGUGAAAGCCGACAGCUUAACUGUCGAAAUGCCAUUGAUACUGGGGAGCUUGGGUACAGUAGAGGUAGGCGGAAUUAAUGGUGUAGCGGUGAAAUGCAUAGAUACCAUUAAGAACACCGAUUGCGAAGGCAGCUUACUAUAGUGUAACUGACGCUGAGGCACGAAAGUGUGGGGAUCAAACAGG
rnacentral:rRNA from 1 species